rnacentral:rRNA from 1 species
GACGAACCGUGCUAACGUUGUUCGGAAUCACUGGGCUUAAAGGGCGCGUAGGCGGUUUGCCAAGUCAGGGGUGAAAUCUUUCGGCCCAACCGGAAAAGGGCCUUUGAUACUGGCAAACUAGAGCGAGGUAGGGGCAGAUGGAACUUCCGGUGGAGCGGUGAAAUGUGUUGAUAUCGGAAGGAACGCCGGUGGCGAAAGCGGCGCGCUGGAUCCCUACUGACGCUGAGGCACGAAAGCCAGGGGAGCAAACGGG